rnacentral:tRNA from 2 species
GGAAAGGUGCAGGAGUGGUUGAUCUGGCUCGCCUGGAAAGCGGGUAUACCGCAAGGUAUCAAGGGUUCGAAUCCCUUCCUUUCCGCUA